GAAACUUCAGGUGCGAGGACGAGGAGUUGCAGCUGGAGCUGACGACGUCGGCCGAGCACCGGUACUAAAACGGAAUUCACAGGUGAAAUUUCUCAGCAAGUUUGUUUCCCUCUGGUUCCCGUUUGUGGUCUUCUUUUUUCAAAACCCAACUCAAGAAAAUUGAUGACAGCGCUACCCCUCUGCAAGAUUGGCAACUGUGCUGAAUGAACAUACUACAAGAAUAUUGAGAAGCCUAGUGUGCUCUUCAGUGGAGGGACGGUGCAGUGCUCGACUUGUUUGAGAGGAGGAAGAGCUUUGAGUCGAAGAUCAUUCGAGAAAACCAGGGCGUCUGAUUUGGAGGCGUUUCAAACCGCAGUGGCUUCUACGUUCUCGCUCGCUUCCAGCAAGCGCAACCAAUAUCGAAAUACCAAGAUUGUAGCAGUGGUCUAGCGCUGGUAAGUACCGGUGGUGUCAAGCAGAUAAUCUGAG